AGUGGAGGCUAGAGUUAUGCAUGUAGUGCAAAACCCAGAAUAAUGUAUUAAGGAUCUUGUUCUAGCUUAUAAAAACACUGGGAGUAAGCUAGAUCAAAUAAUAGGUAAAUUUCACAAAGAAAAGUAAAAUAGGCUUGAUGUGGGAUUCUAAAGUACCUAAAAAGGAUAAAGUGAAGAAGAUGCAUUUGGGAGUACCUUAUUACAACUUUAGUUGGUUGGGGAUAUCAAACAAUAGCUCCUUCCAACCCAGCAGCCAUUAACAUAGAUACCGCUGUUAAUAUUUCCUUCUUAGUAUUAUUACUUAUAUAGCUUGGCAUAUAUUCCCUC